UGCAGGAGGAGCUGGACGAGCUGAAGGGAGGGGCUCCCUAACUGAGCAGCCUGCUGCCCCCAGCCGAGUUUGGUGGCAGCAGUGGGAUCCAAAGGAGACGCCUGAUGGCUUCGAGGAUGAGAAACAGUCAUUGGUACCAGCAAAACCUUUGAGUUCUCCAUCUUUUUCACUGUUUCUGAGGGCUGUGGGAGUUCGAGAUCCUGAAGAACUUCUUCUCGUCCUGCACUGUCAACUCUGCUCUGCAGAAAACCUUCACAAGCCACCUGAAGAACACACGGGGGAAGUUUCCCGGUGGGUAGGCCUCUCUCCAUAGGAGGACCAGGGUGGAUGGGGGAUCUCUUGUAUGUCUGCCAUUGGCCCCUCAGUCAGCUGGGAACUCCUGGGAGGCAGCAAAUGCUGGGGACAG